rnacentral:rRNA from 1 species
CCUGGCGGCGUGCUUACACAUGCAAGUCGUACGAGAAAGUCCGCUUCGGCGGAUUAGUAGAGUGGCGCACGGGCGAGUAACGCGUGGAUAAUCUGCCCUUUAGUUAGGGAUAACCCACCGAAAGGUGAGCUAAUACCCAAUGAUGCUGAUGUGCUUCGGCAUAUUAGUCAAAGGUGGCCUCUGUAUACAAGCUAUCGCUGAAGGAUGAGUCCGCGUACCAUUAGCUUGUUGGUAGGGUAAUGGCCUACCAAGGCGAUGAUGGUUAGCUGGUCUGAGAGGAUGAUCAGCCACACUGGAACUGAGACACGGUCCAGACUCCUACGGGAGGCAGCAGUGAGGAAUAUUGCGCAAUGGGGGAAACCCUGACGCAGCGACGCCGCGUGAGUGAGGAAGGCCUUCGGGUUGUAAAGCUCUGUCAGGCGGGAAGAAAUGUGUGGUGGCUAAUACCUGCCAUGCUUGACGGUACCGCCAGAGGAAGCACCGGCCAACUCCGUGCCAGCAGCCGCGGUAAUACGGGGGGUGCAAGCGUUGUUCGGAAUUAUUGGGCGUAAAGAGCGUGUAGGCGGCUAGGUAAGUCAGAUGUGAAAGCCCUAGGCUCAACCUGGGAAGUGCAUUUGAAACUGCUUGGCUAGAGUGAGGGAGAGGAAAGUGGAAUUCCUGGUGUAGAGGUGAAAUUCNUA